UACGGGGGGGGCAAGCGUUGUUCGGAAUUACUGGGCGUAAAGGGCUCGUAGGCGGCCAACUAAGUCAGACGUGAAAUCCCUCGGCUUAACCGGGGAACUGCGUCUGAUACUGGAUGGCUUGAAUCCGGGAGAGGGAUGCGGAAUUCCAGGUGUAGCGGUGAAAUGCGUAGAUAUCUGGAGGAACACCGGUGGCGAAGGCGGCGUCCUGGACCGGCAUUGACGCUGAGGCGCGAAAGCCAGGGGAGCAAACGGG
rnacentral:rRNA from 1 species